ACCAUGAGAUGGUGACACAUGACAUCAUUUAAGUUUGCCAUUUGUCUUCCUAUUAUGCAAGGUGAUCAAAGUCAAGAAUAAAUCUAGCUUUGACACUUGGCUUAAAGUGAUUAGGUCAAUUAAAAUUAAGGUGCAAUCUGGUGAUUAUAAAAGGGAAAGAAUGAAAAACAAAAUAAUAUUCUGAUUUUUAUCAAAAGGUGCCACCACCCAUAUUCUUUCUUCCUAUAUUCUUCUUCAUCUCUCAUCAAU
rnacentral:misc_RNA from 1 species